rnacentral:lncRNA from 1 species
GGCGGGUAGCAGGUCGGGUGGCGGGUACACUUUUAUCCGGCGGGUCGGGUUACGGGUAGGCACUAUCCGUGCCCGACCCGACCCGUUGCCAUCCCUAGAAGGGUGUGUGACACUUUGAAUCUCAUGCUCACCGAAAUUUGAAGAAUCAGAUGUUGUGAUGGAAGCAGAUCCAAGCUCCAUGCUCGAACAACAACACAACUCAGAAGAAUGCAAUGGAACAAAUUGGAUGCAUGAAAGGUUGAUGCACACCAGGUGUUUGUGAAAUGGAUCGGCGAAGGAUUGAUGAGUGCUUGAGGUCUCUCAAGCUCAGAAGGUCUUCCAAUAGGGAAGGAAGCUAGAGGAGAAGGUGUUGGAAAAGCACAAGAAGUUUGAGCUCAGAGAAUAGGGUCUGGAGAAAUCUCAACGACAUUUCACUAUAUUUUCCAAGUUGAUUUUACAAAGGAGGGAGCCUGAUAGAAGCCUCCACCGAAUUCAUGCUUGGAGAAGCUUCACGGGUUCAGAUUUGGGCAGCGGAUGAAGGAUGCCAUGAUGAUGGAUGAGGUGUAGUCAAGGUGUUUGAUGAAGGUCCGAGAGAGGUUGAUGAUGGAGUAUUGUUGAAGUCUAACUCAGAGAGCUUUCCUAAGGGAAAAGGAGCUAGAGGAUAGGCAAAAUAACAUUGCACAAGAGUGAACUUGAGAGUGAAAGCUGAAAUUUGGCAGCAUUUCUUUACUUCAAUUCAAGUUGAAGGUUACAAGUGUGGUGCUCCUCUUUUAUAAGAAGAAGAAGAGCUAUGAGGUGUGCAGAGGAAGCUAACAAUUGAACAUGUGCAGAAAAUGAAGUGUGAAAGGUGUGUUUCACGUGCUAAAUGUGUUACAUGAGUUAUACAUGGUUAAAUCACGUGAAAAAGGCAUGGAAAUGGUGCUCCACAUGUGAGUCUCGGCCAACCUCUUUGUUGCACG